rnacentral:rRNA from 16 species
CGACUCUCGGCAAUGGAUAUCUCGGCUCUCGCAUCGAUGAAGAACGUAGCGAAAUGCGAUACUUAGUGUGAAUUGCAGAAUCCCGUGAAUCAUCGAGUCUUUGAACGCAAGUUGCGCCCGAAGCCUCGGCCAAGGGCACGUCUGCCUGGGCGUCGCAAACCA